GUCGAGCGGUAAGGCCCUUCGGGGUACACGAGCGGCGAACGGGUGAGUAACACGUGAGCAACCUGCCCCUGACUCCGGGAUAAGCGGUGGAAACGCCGUCUAAUACCGGAUACGACCUCCCACCUCAUGGUGGAGGGUGGAAAGUUUUUCGGUCAGGGAUGGGCUCGCGGCCUAUCAGCUUGUUGGUGGGGUAACGGCCUACCAAGGCGAUUACGGGUAGCCGGCCUGAGAGGGCGACCGGCCACACUGGGACUGAGACACGGCCCAGACUCCUGCGGGAGGCAGCAGUGGGGAAUAUUGCGCAAUGGGCGAAAGCCUGACGCAGCGACGCCGCGUGGGGGAUGACGGCCUUCGGGUUGUAAACCUCUUUUACCACCAACGCAGGCUCCCAGUUCUCUGGGGGUUGACGGUAGGUGGGGAAUAAGGACCGGCUAACUACGUGCCAGCAGCCGCGGUAAUACGUAGGGUCCGAGCGUUGUCCGGAAUUAUUGGGCGUAAAGAGCUCGUAGGCGGCGUGUCGCGUCUGCUGUGAAAGACCGGGGCUUAACUCCGGUUCUGCAGUGGAUACGGGCAUGCUAGAGGUAGGUAGGGGAGACUGGAAUUCCUGGUGUAGCGGUGAAAUGCGCAGAUAUCAGGAGGAACACCGGUGGCGAAGGCGGGUCUCUGGGCCUUACCUGACGCUGAGGAGCGAAAGCAUGGGGAGCGAACAGGAUUAGAUACCCUGGUAGUCCAUGCCGUAAACGUUGGGCGCUAGGUGUGGGGACUUUCCACGGUUUCCGCGCCGUAGCUAACGCAUUAAGCGCCCCGCCUGGGGAGUACGGCCGCAAGGCUAAAACUCAAAGGAAUUGACGGGCGCCCGCACAAGCGGCGGAGCAUGUUGCUUAAUUCGACGCAACGCGAAGAACCUUACCAAGGUUUGACAUCACCC
rnacentral:rRNA from 1 species